UACGUAGGGUGCAAGCGUUGUCCGGAAUUAUUGGGCGUAAAGAGCUCGUAGGCGGUCUGUCGCGUCGGAUGUGAAAAUCCAGGGCUCAACCCCGGGCUUGCUUUCGAUACGGGCAUGACUGGAGUUCGGCAGGGGAGACUGGAAUUCCUGGUGUAGCGGUGAAAUGCGCAGAUAUCAGGAGGAACACCGGUGGCGAAGGCGGGUCUCUGGGCCGAUACUGACGCUGAGGAGCGAAAGCGUGGGGAGCGAACAGG
rnacentral:rRNA from 1 species